rnacentral:lncRNA from 10 species
CUACCGCGCCUUUGGCCGUGUCCAGGCUCAAACUGUAAUACUGGCUCUUCUCAGGUCUUGAGCCUACUUGCCUUCAGAUUGGAACUUUACCAUCUGCUCUCCUGGUUCUCAGGCCUUCAGGGGAGUCUAGAACUAUGCCACUGACUCUCCUGGUCUCCAGUUUUUCAACUUCAAAUCUUGGGAUUUAGUCUCGAUGAUCAUAAAAAGAAAUGGAAACUAAGUAACAUGAAUUAACAUAGUCCAGGGUCACAAAGCAACAUGGAACAAGAACCUGGAUCUGAAUUCAGAGGCAGAAUGCUGG